ensembl:lncRNA
GUUUUAUUGUGAAAAUCACGCCGGAAGAGAUCCGAGUGCCAGCCUCCAGUAUUAGCAGCGGUGUUAGGAUUCAGUGUGGCAGCAAGGGAAAUCAGUGGAAUCUGGGCCAUCUGGGAAAAGGGCAGUCGGUGAAAACCGGCACUAAACCGGCAAGAAUCCCGGCGAAGUGUCCACCGUGACACCGCAGAAGCUCCCGGCGGACUCCUCUGUCCCGUCUCCCGCUGCUGGCUGCGGUUUUUCCUCCCUGGAUCCGCACAGCUGAUUGAAUCAUCCCUGUGUGCUGCGCUCCAGCUGGACUGAGCUGUUAGCAGACCAAAGGUCAGAGUCUGGUUGAGAUGAGAGACCUGUCCAAGAGGCGAGCAGAAGUUACACCAAAACUGGAGACACAGAUUCCUUUGUGGGGUUGUGUCAGAAACCAAGCAUGCAGAGCUGUGGCGACUCCUUGGCCCCAUCCAGAUAGCAGCUGGUGUCAUCUGCAUAGCAACAAAAACGUGUGAAGUCUUAUCUAAUAAUAUUAGCUGGAUCAAUGGAAAAACAACGUCUGUGGGUGGACGUGGCCAUCAACAAUAUCCCCCACACCAGCAGCAUGGACAGGAUGAAUCCAUGCUGAUCCUACUGGACAAAUGUCACGGCAGAUUUUCAGACCCAUAUCACCAGGAAACAUUUUCAAACUUCUCCAUUUUGGGUUCAGAGUGGUGACAAGUAAGCAGCUCUCCAGGAAUAGCAUGCUGUGCCCUGGGCAACACUGUGGGGUUGUCUGGGUGGAGAGCUGGAGGAGCCAGGGCGAGGUGACAGAGUGGAGGAGGAGCUGCUUGGAGUUAUCGAUCAGACCGGAGUUUCAGGCCUACAAUACUGUCACUGUUAAGUACAACUCGAUGAGCUGUAUGUGCAGCUUAAUAAUCUUUACCAAAAGACAGUUUUUUCAUAUGUACUGGAAAAGAAAAGAAUAGUGUGUAAUAUCAACUGUGAUAAUUUGAUUUCAUUUACCUUCAAUGUGAUAUUAGAAACAGCCAAACAGAGUCAAGAUCACUACAGUCAAAAUAAGACUAUUUU